AGUGGAAUGGCAAUGCUUACAUCAUGAGGCAAUUUUCUAGGUUCUUUUUUGACUUCAACCAAUCUGCUAUUCUGCUCUGGUCCUGCUAAUCUGGAAUACAACUUUAGUUCUUUGCUUUUGGACAUUUCAAAGCAGAUAACGUAUUUCUUGUUUUGUAUUUUUAAACUAUAUAACACUUCAGGAAAUUUUCUCAAGACCCAAACUCUGUCUUCUUCGUGUGGAAAAGAAUGAAGUUUCGCCUUCUUCUUCUUCUUCUUCUUUUGCAGUGCUUCUGCUGAGGUGAUAAAAGCUCUCCCAGGUCAAGUCGCCAAUCUUACGUUCAAGCAACACUCUGGUUACAUUGUUACUGAACCGAAACAUACUACUUUGUGGAAGUUGAUUCUGCCAACCCACGGUGACAUUCCUUGACAUUGUGUCUUAAUAGAGCCCCGGUUGUUGAUCUUUGGGCUUUGGUGCAUUCACAGAACAUGGUCCUUUCCGGCUAGGGGAUGAUGGAAACUUGAUCAGGAGUGAAUAUUCAUGGAAUUUGAAUCAAACAUGUUGCACCUUGAGAGUCCGAUCGGAGUUGCAUUUUCUUACUCAAAUACGAGCUUGGAUUACCUCAGUGUGAAUGAUACUACAAAAGGUCGAUAUGAUUAGUGCUAAAAAGUCAUCAGGCACAUCGGUAAUUGUUAAACUCAGAGCACUGAUAAUGAGUUUUUUCAGCUGAGGAGAAUCUAAUAUCCAUGCUCAAUUGGUUCAAAAAAUUCCCACAAUAUAGAGUCCCUUCAUGGUAAUCUAUCCAAAGAAUGCAUCGAAAUGGUCAACAAAGAGCAAGAAGAAGUGGUUCAUAUACUGGACCCGGGGACCUGACCACACUUGGGCUGACCAUUUAUCUGGAGCGCUCAAUAUGUUACAUGUGAAGGUCGAUACAAGUGAAUUUUUGUAAAUAUGUCAUGCAAAAUGCACAGGCUCUUUCUAAUUAGCAAUAUUAUUUGA